AAUCCUGGCUCAGGACGAACGCUGGCGGCGUGCUUAACACAUGCAAGUCGAACGGAGCACCCUUGAUUGAGGUUUCGGCCAAAUGAUAGGAAUGCUUAGUGGCGGACUGGUGAGUAACGCGUGAGGAACCUGCCUUUCAGAGGGGGACAACAGUUGGAAACGACUGCUAAUACCGCAUGACGCAUUUUGAUCGCAUGGUCGAAAUGCCAAAGAUUUAUCGCUGAAAGAUGGCCUCGCG
rnacentral:rRNA from 1 species